UACGUAGGGUGCAAGCGUUAAUCGGCAUUACUGGGCGUAAAGCGUGCGCAGGCGGUUUUGUAAGUCUGUCGUGAAAUCCCCGGGCUUAACCUGGGAAUGGCGAUGGAGACUGCAAGGCUGGAAUCUGGCAGAGGGGGGUAGAAUUCCACGUGUAGCAGUGAAAUGCGUAGAGAUGUGGAGGAACACCGAUGGCGAAGGCAGCCCCCUGGGCUAAGAUUGACGCUCAUGCACGAAAGCGUGGGGAGCAAACAGG
rnacentral:rRNA from 1 species